rnacentral:rRNA from 1 species
AUGGGGCCUUCACGAUCUCUCCCCUGCCUCGUCCUCCUCUUCCUCGUCGCCUCGUCCAGGGCUUCCGUCUUAGAGGACACGUGCAAAUCCUUCGCCGCCGGCCAUCCGGCCAUCGGCUACGACUACUGCAUCAAGUUUUUCCAGGCCAGCAAGGACAGCGCCACCGCCGACAAGCGCGGCCUGGCCGUCAUCGCGUCGAAGCUCGCCGGAGCGGCAGCCAGCGGCAUCAUCAAGCGCAUCCACGCCCUCGUGGCCUCGGAGAAGGACAAGCGCAUCCAGAUGGCCCUCCACGACUGCGACCAAUUGUACUCGCAAGCCGUGGACGAGCUCGAUGGCGCGGCUAAAGGCGCCGCGGCGGGCACACCGCGAGGCAAAGCGGACGCGGUGGCGUACGUCAACGGCGCGUUGGGCGCCCCCGGCACCUGCGAGACCGGGUUUGGGGAGAUGGGCGUGGAGUCGCCGCUCGUCGCCGAGGACUCCGAGUUCACUAAGGAGGUCUACAUCACGCUCGAUGUAACGCACUCGUUAUAA